rnacentral:rRNA from 1 species
UGGGGGAUAUUGCACAAUGGGGGAAACCCUGAUGCAGCGACGCCGCGUGAGUGAAGAAGUAUUUCGGUAUGUAAAGCUCUAUCAGCAGGGAAGAAAACAAUGACAGUACCUGACUAAGAAGCCCCGGCUAACUACGUGCCAGCAGCCGCGGUAAUACGUAGGGGGCAAGCGUUAUCCGGAUUUACUGGGUGUAAAGGGAGCGUAGGCGGUGCGGCAAGUCAGAAGUGAAAGCCCGGGGCUCAACUCCGGGACUGCUUUUGAAACUGUCGGACUGGAGUGUCGGAGAGGUAAGUGGAAUUCCUAGUGUAGCGGUGAAAUGCGUAGAUAUUAGGAGGAACACCAGUGGCGAAGGCGGCUUACUGGACGAUCACUGACGCUGAGGCUCGAAAGCGUGGGGAGC